rnacentral:snRNA from 1 species
GUGCUCUCUUCGGCAGCACAUAUACUAAAAUUGGAAUGAAACAGAGGAGAUUAGUAUGGUUCCUGUGCAAGUAUGAUACACAGAUUCAGAUUCAUGAAGUGUUCCAUAUUUAA